rnacentral:rRNA from 1 species
UAAAGAUUUUAAGGGCGUACGGUGGAUGCCUUGGCGAUAUCAGCCGAAGAAGGACGCGGUAAGCUGCGAUAAGCUACGGAGAGGUGCAAGCAACCUUUGACCCGUAGAUUUCCGAAUGGGGGAACCCGGCAGUGGUUAUGCACUGUCACCCAUAGCUUAGACUAUGAGGAGGGCACCUGGGGAACUGAAACAUCUAAUUACCCAGAGGAAAAGUAAUCAAACGAGAUUUUCUUAGUAGCGGCGAGCGAACGGGAAAGAGGCCAAACCGGAGCGGGCAACCGCACCGGGGUUGAGGACAGUCAUCAAGUGUAAAUGAGGUAGAAGAAUCGAGCUGGAAAGCUCAGCCGCAGAAGGUGAAAGCCCUGUAAUCGAAACCUUGCAUACAUGGGACUGUAUCCAGAGUACCACGAGACACGUGAAACCUUGUGGGAAGCAGGGGGGACCACCCUCCAAGCCAAAAUACUGAUAUCGACCGAUAGCGCAUAGUACCGUGAGGGAAAGGUGAAAAGAACCCCUGGCGGGGAGUGAAAGAGAACCUGAAACCGUAUGUCUACAAACAGUCGAAGUCUGUAUAUAUAUCAGGACGACGGCGUGCCUAUUGAAGAAUGAACCGACGAGUUACUGUUGCUAGCGAGGUUAAGUGGAAAACAUGGAGCCGCAGCGAAAGCGAGUCUGAACAGGGCGUUCAGUUAGUAAUAGUAGACCCGAAACCGUAGUGAUCUAUCCAUGGCCAGGUUGAAGCACAGGUAAAAUUGUGUGGAGGACCGAACUCGUGAGCGUUGAAAAGCUUUGGGAUGAGUUGUGGAUAGGGGUGAAAUGCCAAUCGAACACGGAGAUAGCUGGUUCUCCCCGAAAUAGCUUUAGGGCUAGCCUCGAGGUUGAGAGUAUAGGCGGUAGAGCACUGAUCGGGCUAGGGGCCAUACCGGUUACCGAACCUAGUCAAACUACGAAUGGCUAUACUUAUACUCGGGAGUCAGACAGUGAAUGAUAAGGUCCAUUGUCAAGAGGGAAACAGCCCAGAACACCGACUAAGGUCCCCAAUGUUACACUAAGUGGCGAAGGAUGUGGAAUUUCCAAAACAACCAGGAUGUUGGCUUAGAAGCAGCCACCAUUUAAAGAGUGCGUAAUAGCUCACUGGUCGAGAGACUCUGCGCCGAAGAUGUCCGGGGCUAAAGUGUAAAACCGAAGUCGUGUCAUAUGCAGCAAUGUAUAUGGGUAGGGGAGCGUUCUCAUCGGGCUGAAGCAGUACCGUAAGGAGUUGUGGACUGAUGAGAAGUGAGAAUGUCGGUAUGAGUAGCGAAAAGAAUGGUGAGAAUCCAUUCCACCGAAAGCCUAAGGGUUCCUGAGCAACGAUCGUCGUCUCAGGGUAAGUCGGGACCUAAGCCGAGGCGGAAAAGCGUAGGCGAUGGACAACAGGUUGAAAUUCCUGUACCGGUGUGAAUCGUUUGAUCGAUGGAGUGACACAGUAAGGUAGGUCAGCACGCGAUUGGAAGUGCGUGUUUAAGCAGGUAGGUUGAGCUAUAGGCAAAUCCGUAGCUCUAAAAGCUGAGAUGUGAUGACGAGUUACUAGCGAUAGUAACGAAGUGAUUGAUCCUACACUGUCGAGAAAAGCUUCUAGGUAGAGACACAUCGCCCGUACCAAAACCGACACAGGUAGGCGGGGAGAGAAUCCUAAGGUGCGCGGGAAAACCCUCGUUAAGGAACUCGGCAAAAUGCCUCCGUAACUUCGGGAAAAGGAGGACUCAUGUAGUGUGAAGAGCAGCAACGCUUGGAGCAUGAAUGAGUGGCACAAGAGAGGCCCAAGCGACUGUUUACCAUAAACACAGGUGCCUGCUAAAGCGAAAGCUGAUGUAUAGGUGCUGACACCUGCCCGGUGCUGGAAGGUUAAGAGGAGGGGUUAGACUUCGGUCGAAGCUCUGAAUUGAAGCCCCAGUAAACGGCGGCCGUAACUAUAACGGUCCUAAGGUAGCGAAAUUCCUUGUCGGGUAAGUUCCG